rnacentral:rRNA from 1 species
UACGUAGGGGGCAAGCGUUAUCCGGAAUUAUUGGGCGUAAAGAGUACGUAGGUGGCAACCUAAGCGCAGGGUUUAAGGCAAUGGCUCAACCAUUGUUCGCCCUGCGAACUGGGAUGCUUGAGUGCAGGAGAGGAAAGCGGAAUUCCUAGUGUAGCGGUGAAAUGCGUAGAUAUUAGGAGGAACACCAGUGGCGAAGGCGGCUUACUGGACUGUAACUGACGUUGAGGCUCGAAAGCGUGGGGAGCAAACAGG